ACUCCACGCCACAUCUCCCUGAAGGAGUCCACAGGAAAACACACGGGCAUGAAGUACAGGAACCUUGGAAAGUCAGGGCUCAGAGUAUCCUGUUUAGGACUUGGUACAUGGGUGACAUUUGGAGGACAGAUAACAGAUGAGGUUGCAGAGCAGCUAAUGACCAUCGCCUAUGAGAGUGGAGUCAACUUGUUCGACACAGCCGAGGUCUAC